rnacentral:rRNA from 1 species
AGACCCGAAACCCGGUGAUCUAGCCAUGGGCAGGUUGAAGGUUGGGUAACACUAACUGGAGGACCGAACCGACUAAUGUUGAAAAAUUAGCGGAUGACCUGUGGCUGGGGGUGAAAGGCCAAUCAAACCGGGAGAUAGCUGGUUCUCCCCGAAAGCUAUUUAGGUAGCGCCUCGUGAAUUCAUCUCCGGGGGUAGAGCACUGUUUCGGCUAGGGGGCCAUCCCGGCUUACCAACCCGAUGCAAACUGCGAAUACCGGAGAAUGUUAUCACGGGAGACACACGGCGGGUGCUAACGUCCGUCGUGAAGAGGGAAACAACCCAGACCGCCAGCUAAGGUCCCAAAGUCAUGGUUAAGUGGGAAACGAUGUGGGAAGGCCCAGACAGCCAGGAUGUUGGCUUAGAAGCAGCCAUCAUUUAAAGAAAGCGUAAUAGCUCACUGGUCGAGUCGGCCUGCGCGGAAGAUGUAACGGGGCUAAACCAUGCACCGAAGCUGCGGCAGCGACACUCAGGUGUUGUUGGGUAGGGGAGCGUUCUGUAAGCCUGCGAAGGUGGCCUGUGAGGGUUGCUGGAGGUAUCAGAAGUGCGAAUGCUGACAUAAGUAACGAUAAAGCGGGUGAAAAGCCCGCUCGCCGGAAGACCAAGGGUUCCUGUCCAACGUUAAUCGGGGCAGGGUGAGUCGACCCCUAAGGCGAGGCCGAAAGGCGUAGUCGAUGGGAAACGGGUUAAUAUUCCCGUACUUGGUGUUACUGCGAAGGGGGGACGGAGAAGGCUAUGUUGGCCGGGCGACGGUUGUCCCGGUUUAAGCGUGUAGGUGUGUGUUCCAGGUAAAUCCGGUUCACUUUAACACUGAGGCGUGAUGACGAGGCACUACGGUGCUGAAGCAACAAAUGCCCUGCUUCCAGGAAAAGCCUCUAAGCAUCAGGUAACAUCAAAUCGUACCCCAAACCGACACAGGUGGUCAGGUAGAGAAUACCAAGGCGCUUGAGAGAACUCGGGUGAAGGAACUAGGCAAAAUGGUGCCGUAACUUCGGGAGAAGGCACGCUGACACGUAGGUGAAGUGAUUUACUCAUGGAGCUGAAGUCAGUCGAAGAUACCAGCUGGCUGCAACUGUUUAUUAAAAACACAGCACUGUGCAAACACGAAAGUGGACGUAUACGGUGUGACGCCUGCCCGGUGCCGGAAGGUUAAUUGAUGGGGUCAGCGCAAGCGAAGCUCCUGAUCGAAGCCCCGGUAAACGGCGGCCGUAACUAUAACGGUCCUAAGGUAGCGAAAUUCCUUGUCGGGUAAGUUCCGACCUGCACGAAUGGCGUAAUGAUGGCCAGGCUGUCUCCACCCGAGACUCAGUGAAAUUGAACUCGCUGUGAAGAUGCAGUGUACCCGCGGCAAGACGGAAAGACCCCGUGAACCUUUACUAUAGCUUGACACUGAACAUUGAGCCUUGAUGUGUAGGAUAGGUGGGAGGCUUUGAAGUGUGGACGCCAGUCUGCAUGGAGCCGACCUUGAAAUACCACCCUUUAAUGUUUGAUGUUCUAACGUGGACCCGUGAUCCGGGUUGCGGACAGUGUCUGGUGGGUAGUUUGACUGGGGCGGUCUCCUCCUAAAGAGUAACGGAGGAGCACGAAGGUUGGCUAAUCCUGGUCGGACAUCAGGAGGUUAGUGCAAUGGCAUAAGCCAGCUUGACUGCGAGCGUGACGGCGCGAGCAGGUGCGAAAGCAGGUCAUAGUGAUCCGGUGGUUCUGAAUGGAAGGGCCAUCGCUCAACGGAUAAAAGGUACUCCGGGGAUAACAGGCUGAUACCGCCCAAGAGUUCAUAUCGACGGCGGUGUUUGGCACCUCGAUGUCGGCUCAUCACAUCCUGGGGCUGAAGUAGGUCCCAAGGGUAUGGCUGUUCGCCAUUUAAAGUGGUACGCGAGCUGGGUUUAGAACGUCGUGAGACAGUUCGGUCCCUAUCUGCCGUGGGCGCUGGAGAACUGAGGGGGGCUGCUCCUAGUACGAGAGGACCGGAGUGGACGCAUCACUGGUGUUCGGGUUGUCAUGCCAAUGGCACUGCCCGGUAGCUAAAUGCGGAAGAGAUAAGUGCUGAAAGCAUCUAAGCACGAAACUUGCCCCGAGAUGAGUUCUCCCUGAGACUUAGAGUCUCCUGAAGGAACGUUGAAGACGACGACGUUGAUAGGCCGGGUGUGUAAGCGCAGCGAUGCGUUGAGCUAACCGGUACUAAUGAACCGUGAGGCUUAACCUU